rnacentral:rRNA from 1 species
GAUGAACGCUAGCGGGAGGCCUAACACAUGCAAGCCGAGCGGUAUUUGUUCUUCGGAACAGAGAGAGCGGCGCACGGGUGCGGAGCACGUGUGCAACCUGCCUUUAUCUGGGGGAUAGCCUUUCGAAAGGAAGAUUAAUACCCCAUAAUAUAUUGAGUGGCAUCACUUGAUAUUGAAAACUCCGGUGGAUAGAGAUGGGCACGCGCAAGAUUAGAUAGUUGGUGAGGUAACGGCUCACCAAGUCAAUGAUCUUUAGGGGGCCUGAGAGGGUGAUCCCCCACACUGGUACUGAGACACGGACCAGACUCCUACGGGAGGCAGCAGUGAGGAAUAUUGGACAAUGGGUUAGCGCCUGAUCCAGCCAUCCCGCGUGAAGGACGACGGCCCUAUGGGUUGUAAACUUCUUUUGUAUAGGGAUAAACCUACUCUCGUGAGAGUAGCUGAAGGUACUAUACGAAUAAGCACCGGCUAACUCCGUG